rnacentral:rRNA from 1 species
GGGCCCGCACAAGCGGCGGAGCAUGCGGAUUAAUUCGAUGCAACGCGAAGAACCUUACCUGGGUUUGACAUGGGCGCUAAAGCCGUAGAGAUGCGGUGUCCCUUUGGGGGCGUUCACAGGUGGUGCAUGGCUGUCGUCAGCUCGUGUCGUGAGAUGUUGGGUUAAGUCCCGCAACGAGCGCAACCCUCGUUCGAUGUUGCCAGCGGUUCGGCCGGGGACUCAUCGAAGACUGCCGGGGUCAACUCGGAGGAAGGUGGGGAUGACGUCAAGUCAUCAUGCCCCUUAUGUCCAGGGCUUCACGCAUGCUACAAUGGCCGGUACAAAGGGCUGCGAUACCGUGAGGUGGAGCGAAUCCCAAAAAGCCGGUCUCAGUUCGGAUCGGGGUCUGCAACUCGACCCCGUGAAGUCGGAGUCGCUAGUAAUCGCAGAUCAGCAACGCUGCGGUGAAUACGUUCCCGGGCCUU